rnacentral:rRNA from 1 species
AUGAACGCUGGCGGCGUGCCUAAUUCAUGCCAGUCGAGCGAACAGACGAGGAGCUUGCUCCUCUGACGUUAGCGGCGGACGGGUGAGUAACACGUGGAUAACCUACCUAUAAGACUGGGAUAACUUCGGGAAACCGGAGCUAAUACCGGAUAAUAUAUUGAACCGCAUGGUUCAAUAGUGAAAGACGGUUUUGCUGUCACUUAUAGAUGGAUCCGCGCCGCAUUAGCUAGUUGGUAAGGUAACGGCUUACCAAGGCAACGAUGCGUAGCCGACCUGAGAGGGUGAUCGGCCACACUGGAACUGAGACACGGUCCAGACUCCUACGGGAGGCAGCAGUAGGGAAUCUUCCGCAAUGGGCGAAAGCCUGACGGAGCAACGCCGCGUGAGUGAUGAAGGUCUUCGGAUCGUAAAACUCUGUUAUUAGGGAAGAACAAAUGUGUAAGUAACUAUGCACGUCUUGACGGUACCUAAUCAGAAAGCCACGGCUAACUACGUG